UAAUCAGGUUGGACACAGUUCUGGAACCACUUGGAGAUCACAGUCAAAGGAUGAACGAGAACAGGAGACAUUAUGAGAUGUGCCCAUAUUCAUUUCUAUUUAGGGGAACCCUCCUGGGUUUGACAGGUUGAGAAGAACUGCAAAGAUAGGAAGGCACAGAACUUGCCCUUCAAGAGUUUACAUUCUAGAGGAAGAGAGAAGGCAAACCGACAUACAAGUGUCUGCGAUGGAUUCAUAGAUCAUAAAAGCAUAGGAUCGUGUGCUGGAAUUGUUUGUACUUUGGCACAGAGGCAUGAAUAAAUCUGUCAGUUCCUCAGGA